rnacentral:rRNA from 1 species
GAGAAGCUUGCUUCUUGGGUGGCGAGUGGCGAACGGGUGAGUAAUAUAUCGGAACGUACCGAGUAAUGGGGGAUAACUAAUCGAAAGAUUAGCUAAUACCGCAUAUUCUCUGAGGAGGAAAGCAGGGGACCUUCGGGCCUUGCGUUAUUCGAGCGGCCGAUAUCUGAUUAGCUAGUUGGUGGGGUAAAGGCCUACCAAGGCGACGAUCAGUAGCGGGUCUGAGAGGAUGAUCCGCCACACUGGGACUGAGACACGGCCCAGACUCCUACGGGAGGCAGCAGUGGGGAAUUUUGGACAAUGGGCGCAAGCCUGAUCCAGCCAUGCCGCGUGUCUGAAGAAGGCCUUCGGGUUGUAAAGGACUUUUGUCAGGGAAGAAAAGGCUGUUGCUAAUAUCGACAGCUGAUGACGGUACCUGAAGAAUAAGCACCGGCUAACUACGUGCCAGCAGCCGCGGUAAUACGUAGGGUGCGGGCGUUAAUCGGAAUUACUGGGCGUAAAGCGAGCGCAGACGGUUACUUAAGCAGGAUGUGAAAUCCUCGGGCUCAACCUGGGAACUGCGUUCUGAACUGGGUGACUAGAGUGUGUCAGAGGGAGGUAGAAUUCCACGUGUAGCAGCGAAAUGCGUAGAGAUGUGGAGGAAUACCGAUGGCGAAGGCAGCCUCCCGGGAUAACACUGACGUUCAUGCUCGAAAGCGUGGGUAGCAAACAGGAUUAGAUACCCUGGUAGUCCACGCCCUAAACGAUGUCAAUUAGCUGUUGGGCAACUUGAUUGCUUAGUAGCGUAG